GCCCGGGUAGCUCAGCAGAGAGAGCGCUUGCAUAGUAUGCAAGAGGUCGGUGGUUCAAGUCCAUCCUCGGGCU
rfam:Candidatus Blackburnbacteria bacterium RIFCSPLOWO2_01_FTLL_41_27 rifcsplowo2_01_scaffold_10737, whole genome shotgun sequence.